rnacentral:tRNA from 1 species
CUUCCCAUAACUUAGCUAUGAGAGCGCCACCUUGACAGGGUGGAGGUCGCUGGUUCGAGGCCAGUCGGGAUCA